UGAGCAAUCUGCCCUUCUCUUCGGAAUAAGCGUUGGAAACGACGUCUGAUGCCGAAUACGACUUCCUUUCGCAUGAUCGGAGGUGGAAAGCUCCGGCGGAGAAGGAUGGGCUCGCGGCCUAUCAGCUAGUUGGUGUGGGUAAUGGCCCACCAAGGCGACGACGGGUAGCCGGCCUGAGAGGGUGACCGGCCACACUGGGACUGAGACACGGCCCAGACCUCCUACGGGAGCAGCG
rnacentral:rRNA from 1 species